rnacentral:lncRNA from 1 species
GGCAGGCUCUGGGAAUUGAAAUGAGUUUGAACCAUAUGAUUUCAAAUAGCAACAGUAUUUCACACCGUGAAGUGAUUUACGAUUUCCACAAGUUUCUUUUUUUUUUUUUUUAACUUGGCUAGGUGCGGUGGCUCAUGCUUAUAAUUCCAGCACUUUGGGAGGCUGAGGCAAGGACUGCUUGAGUCCAUGAGUUCGAGACCAGCCUGGGCAACAGAGCAAGACCUCGCCUCUACAUAAAUAAAUAAAUAAAUAAAUAAUAAUAGCCAAGUGUGGCGGCACACACCAGCUGAGGUGGGAGGAUCACUUGAAUUUGGGAGUUUGAGGCUGCAGUGAGGUGUG